rnacentral:rRNA from 1 species
GACGAACGCUGGCGGCGUGCUUAACACAUGCAAGUCGAACGGAAAGGCCCUGCUUGCCGGGUACUCGAGUGGCGAACGGGUGAGUAGCACGUGGGUGAUCUGCCCUGCACUUCGGGAUAAGCCUGGGAAACUGGGUCUAAUACCGGAUAGGAGCCAUUUUUAGUGUGAUGGUUGGAAAGUUUUUUUCGGUGUAGGAUGAGCUCGCGGCCUAUCAGCUUGUUGGUGGGGUAAUGGCCUACCAAGGCGGCGACGGGUAGCCGGCCUGAGAGGGUGGACGGCCACAUUGGGACUGAGAUACGGCCCAGACUCCUACGGGAGGCAGCAGUGGGGAAUAUUGCACAAUGGGCGCAAGCCUGAUGCAGCGACGCCGCGUGGGGGAUGACGGCCUUCGGGUUGUAAACUCCUUUCGCUAGGGACGAAGCUUUUUGUGACGGUACCUAGAUAAGAAGCACCGGCUAACUACGUG